AUGGGUAAGAAGCUAGCUCUGAAAGAAUUGUAUGGUGAUUGGGAUAGCAGCUUUGACAAUUUGUAUAGGUUUAAAGCACAAGUUGAAACCACUUGCCCUGGUAGCAUAGUUCAGAUUGAUCAUUACACUAUAAAAGGAAAAAUCAGGUUUAGAAGGUUCUUCUUUGCUUUGAAACCUUGCAUAGACGGAUUCCUUGGUGGGUGCAGGCCAUAUUUGGCAGUAGAUAGCACAUUCUUAACAGGCAGGUUCAAGGGGCAGCUGGCUAGUGCUACCGCUGUAGAUGGCCAUAAUUGGAUGUAUCCACUUUGUUUUGGAAUUUUUGAUUCCGAAACAAAUGAGAAAUGGAUUUGGUUCAUGCAAUUGCUUAGGCAAGCCAUAGGAUCACCAAGGGGUUUAGCCAUAAGCACUGAUGCCGGGCAGGCGGUGAUGACAGGGGUAAAGGAAGUUUUCCCAGAAGUAGAACAUAGGGAAUGCAUGUUUCACUUGGUGUCAAACUUCAAGAAAAAGUAUCACGGAAAGGUAUUUGAUGACCAUCUUUGGAAUGCUGCUUACUCAUGGAAUACAUAUAUAUUUGAGAAAAAUUGGGUUGCAAUGGAAACAGCAAAGCCAGCAGCAACUGCAUAUCUUAGGAAAUGGCACACUAUGUUGUGGACUAGGAGUCAGUUCUCAACCAUUUGUAAGGUGGACUAUGUAACCAACAACCUGGCAGAGUGCUUCAAUAAUUGGAUUAAGCACCACAAGUCUUUGAACUUGGAUGACUUAAUGGACAAGCUUAGGCAGAUGAUUAUGAUCAUGUGGAAUCGCCAGAGAAAAGUAGCAAAGAAGUUAGUUGGCUUAAUUUUGCCCCACAUAAUUAAGAAGUUGAAUGCAAAGAGUAGAGAGUUGAACUUGGAGGUGGUAGAAAGCUCGGAAGAAGUUGCUGAAGUUACUCAAUUGGGAGGCAGCGGGUUUAGGUUUGUCGUCAACUUGCAUGACAACACAUGCUCUUGUAGACAAUGGCAAGUUUCUGGCCUUCCUUGCAAACAUGCUCUAGCAUUCAUCACAUCACUUGUCAAUGCACAUAUACAGAAUUAUGUGGACUCGUAUUACUCCAUUGACAAGUUUAGAGCAGCUUAUGGCCAACUAAUCCUUGCUAUGUGUGACAAGACCCAGUGGCCUAAAUCUAACCAUGGAUUCUUCAUGCAUCCACCCUUGUUAAAAGCCGUAGCUGGUCGGCCCCAAACAGAGAGGCAUAAGGGUUGUAGUGAGAAAAAGAGGAAAAGUGGCCAGCACUUAUGCCCUAUUUGUAAGGAAUACAGGCACCAUUGGCACAAGUGCAAGAAGGGGAACAAAUAUGACAUUGCUGCUUUGAUGGAGUUGAGAGAACCACCAAAGAAGAGGAGGAAGACUACCAAAUCAGCCGAGUCAUCCAUUGUGCCAAGAGGUGAUGAAGCACCGGCAACCGCUAUGUAUUUUCCACCAAGCCAAAGCUUAGAAAUUACAACCAAGAAGAAAGGAAAACAUAGCCAAACUUUGAAGACUACAAACAAGAAAAAUGCAAAAGGGUGUAAAAGAUCAGGGAAGGGGAAGAAGAUGGAGCUUGCUAAAAAGGAUGAAAGUUGUCCUAUGGUGCCACCAUUCGACAGCCCCGCAAUGAGCACAAGAAGCAAAAAAGCUAACCCAGCCAGCCCCGCAAUGAGCACAAGGAGUAGAAGAAGACUUAGCUUGUGA
rnacentral:rRNA from 1 species